UACGGAGGGGGCGAGCGUUGUCCGAAGUUACUGGGCGUAAAGCGCGCGUAGGCGGGUUGGCAAGUCCGCUGUGAAAGCCCGGUGCUUAACGCCGGAGGGUCGGUGGAUACUGCCAGUCUUGAAGGUGCUAGGGGAAGAUGGAAUUACCGGUGUAGCGGUGAAAUGCGUAGAGAUCCGGAAGAACACCGGUGGCGAAGGCGGUCUGCUGGGCAGUUGCUGACACUGAGGCGCGACAGCGUGGGGAGCAAACAGG
rnacentral:rRNA from 1 species